CCUACGUGUGGCAGCAGUGAGGACUAUUGGUCAAUGGACGAGAGUCUGAACCAGCCACGUAGCGUGAAGGAUGACUGCUCUCUGGGUUGUAAACUUCUUUUAUAUGGGAAUAAAACGUUCCACGUGUGGGAGUUUGUAUGUACCAUAUGAACAAGGCGCGGCUAACUCCGUGCCAGCAGCAGCGGGAAUACGGAGGAUACGCGCGGUAGCCGGAUUGAGUGGGUUUAAAGGGAGCGUAGGUGGAUAGUAAAGUCAGUUGUGAAAGUUUGCGGCUCAACCGGAGAAUUGCAUUUGAAAAUGGCAGUGUUGAGUACAGUAGAGGUGGGCGGAAUUCGUGGUGGAGCGGUGAAAUGCGUAGAUAUCACGAAGAACUCCGGUUGCGAAGGCAGUUCACUGGACUGCAACUGACACUGAGGCUCGAAAGUGUGGGUAUCAAACAGGAGUAGAUACCCGGGUAGUC
rnacentral:rRNA from 1 species